rnacentral:tRNA from 1 species
ACCGAAGUGGCGGAAUUGGUAGACGCGCACGUUUCAGGUGCGUGUGCCGCAAGGUGUGAGGGUUCGAGUCCCUCCUUCGGUA